UCGAGGGGCAGCGGGGGUGAGAGCUUGCUCUCACCUGCCGGCGACCGGCGCACGGGUGAGUAACACGUAUGCAACCUGCCUGUCACUGGGGGAUAAGCGGAAGAAAUUCCGUCUAAUACCGCAUAAUAUCCUUGAGGGACAUCCCUUAGGGAUUAAAGGAGCGAUCCGGUGACAGAUGGGCAUGCGGCGCAUUAGCUUGUUGGCGGGGUAACGGCCCACCAAGGCGACGAUGCGUAGGGGUUCUGAGAGGAAGGUCCCCCACACUGGUACUGAGACACGGACCAGACUCCUACGGGAGGCAGCAGUGAGGAAUAUUGGUCAAUGGGCGAGAGCCUGAACCAGCCAAGUCGCGUGAGGGAAGACGGUCCUAUGGAUUGUAAACCUCUUUUGUCGGGGAGCAAAGAGGCCUCGUGAGGUCAAAAGUGAGAGUACCCGAAGAAAAAGCAUCGGCUAACUCCGUGCCAGCAGCCGCGGUAAUACGGAGGAUGCGAGCGUUAUCCGGAUUUAUUGGGUUUAAAGGGUGCGUAGGCGGGCUGAUAAGUCAGCGGUUAAAAUGCGGUGCUCAACGCCGUAGUGCCGUUGAAACUGUCGGUCUUGAGUGAGCGAGAAGUAUGCGGAAUGCGUGGUGUAGCGGUGAAAUGCAUAGAUAUCACGCAGAACUCCGAUUGCGAAGGCAGCAUACCGGCGCUCAACUGACGCUGAAGCACGAAAGCGUGGGUAUCGAACAGGAUUAGAUACCCUGGUA
rnacentral:rRNA from 1 species